GAGCCCAGAAGGAAAACUGACCUAAGAACUCAUGCUCAGUUACCUGGUUAAACUAUGACCAAAACCAAGGCUUCAGCGUGCUUAGGCCCUGAACCUAGGAAAACCUAGGAAACUCAGGAAGAACAGAUCAAAAAUCACUCCCUUGCCCACUAUGGUGGGUCCCCGAGGGAAGGGCUGGACAGCAGGGAUUCAGGACAAAAGCUCAUAGAUCAGCAACUGAAUGGGGACCCACAGGGGCCCAGGGCCCAGUGUCCUCUCAUGACCGCCAGUCCUGCCACCACGGGGCACCGAGACACAAGUGGCUGAGGCUCCAGACACCUGUGGAAAAUGACACCAUCGAUCAAGACAAGGUCAAAAAGAGGCUUUCAAGGACAUGGUGGAGGGAAGACAUUGGUCCUAAUAGCCACAGAGUUCACAGUUUGAUGUGACAUCCUAAGAAACUGGAAGGAGGGAGCAGGAUUCCCAUGACCUCCAAUCAUCCCUCGCCAGCGGCCUGGAAAAUAAGUUCAACUCAAUCGAAGAAGCGCCUACCCACCCAAGAAGGCUAAUCACCACCCUCUCCCCACUGACCUCAAGGGAAGGUCAGAUGAAUUCAGGAAAAACCUAAGUCGCUGAAAUGCAGCUGGAGUAAUCUCAAGUACUAAGGAGACGCCACCCACGGCAGUGUCCCCCUACCUUGUCUAAGAAAGGCAGCACCCUGGGAAGGUAGGAAACCACUGGGAAAGUCUUGAGGGUCCCAGAGUGACCAGCAUGCCUGUGUUGAGGUGUGAGGGACCCUCCCUCUGACUUCAGGGUGACAAGAUGACCCCAAUCUUCAAACAUCCCCAAACCCUCUCUGCACAUGGACCAAGAGAAACUGGUAAAAGGGGCUGAUUUUCAGAGCCCAGCAGAAGAGAACAGAGGGGAGGCAGGAGGAGGAGUUAGAGGAGGCCUGUACGGGAGGAAGUGUGGGCUGAGACCUUCUAGUCAAGUCCACGUGCUCCCAGGACCCACAGUGCCCCCGGGUCUAGGGUGGCCUGCUCCCUGCCCAAUCCCCCGGGAUGAUCCCCAAGGAGGGAUACAUCAGCCACCACACUUGACAUAGCGCACCUUCAACAUUCAAAUUCAAGUUCACCUCUUCCUUUCUGGAAAUUCUUGCCAGGAAUAGGAUCUGAACACAGGAGAGGGAGGAAAUGGCACACUGGCUUUUUCCGUGAGACCCUGGGUGACUCACUUCUACCUGCCUUGAGCCCCCGUUCUUUAUCUGCCACUAAUUUCUCCAAGAGAAUUUGAGACAGGGAAUCAAAAUGGCUUUGAGUUCACCCAAACUCUGCCAGUCAGAGGCCAAUGUAACCUGUAAAACCCUCAUUUUGCUGCAGCCUGAUACUUUCCACACUACUAGUCACUUGCUCUCCUGUUUUGCUCUUUAUGAAAAUGCGAAUUCCCAGAAAUCAAAGGCCAUUCAUUCCCUCCUGUAUGUUCCUGAGCUCUGUGGGAUCCCUUCUGGCUGGACCUCAUCCUUCCAGGAAGAGACGCUCAGAAAAUGUGCCUCCUCCUCACAGGAAAGGAAUCCCUCCGAGCAGAGCUGUGGAGAGGAGCCAGCUUUGUGGAAUUUCCCUUCAAUUUACUUUCUGGGCAGCUCCCAGCAGAAAUGACCAAAAUCCACUCAAAAGAGGAAGAGGAAGAGUUUGUUCUGGCCUUCUCAGAGACUAAAUUUUUCUUUCAAAAAUGGUUUAAGGAGAAACAAGUACUGCCUUCUAUUCUAAAAGGGGAGAGGAAAGAGGACUUUGAGUUGCCUGGAAGAACAACGGCUCCAUUUCUUUUCUUAACUAUUAACAGAGGAUACCCUAGGGACUUACAUGAGGGUUUCCCAAAAGUAAAGUAAUUGGGGCAAUUUGCAUGUAGAUGCAAAAGCGAAUGUUAGUUCAGAGCUGCUGUGAUGCUCCAGGACAAGAUUACACCAGCUGAAGACGCCUGGGAGGAACAAAAUCUUCAUCUACUCAGUUCUUCAUUGUUCUUGGAUUUCCGCUGCCCCCGCCAGUCAUUUGUGGUUUGUUUUUUAGGGGUUUUUUUUGGUACUGGGGAUCGAACUUGGGACCUGGUGCUUGUGAGGCAGGCGACGAAACCCCUGAGCUAUAUGCCCCGCCUAUCCCCAGCCAUCUGUUACCCUUUGUUUAUCCCAAUGUACUGAACUCUCUGCAAGUCAUUUGAUACAUUUGUUUCUCCCA